rnacentral:rRNA from 1 species
GAUGAACGCUGGCGGCGUGCCUAAUACAUGCAAGUCGAGCGAACAGACGAGGAGCUUGCUCCUCUGACGUUAGCGGCGGACGGGUGAGUAACACGUGGAUAACCUACCUAUAAGACUGGGAUAACUUCGGGAAACCGGAGCUAAUACCGGAUAAUAUAUUGAACCGCAUGGUUCAAUAGUUAAAGACGGUUUUGCUGUCACUUAUAGAUGGAUCCGCGCCGCAUUAGCUAGUUGGUAAGGUAACGGAUUACCAAGGCAACGAUGCGUAGCCGACCUGAGAGGGUGAUCGGCCACACUGGAACUGAGACACGGUCCAGACUCCUACGGGAGGCAGCAGUAGGGAAUCUUCCGCAAUGGGCGAAAGCCUGACGGAGCAACGCCGCGUGAGUGAUGAAGGUCUUCGGAUCGUAAAACUCUGUUAUUAGGGAAGAACAAAUGUGUAAGUAACUAUGCACGUCUUGACGGUACCUAAUCAGAAAGCCACGGCUAACUACGUG